UCCUACGGGAGGCAGCAGUGAGGAAUAUUGGUCAAUGGAGGCAACUCUGAACCAGCCAAGUCGCGUGAAGGAUGAAGGUCUUAUGGAUUGUAAACUUCUUUUGCAGGGGAAUAAAUAGCGGUACGUGUACCGUUUUGCAUGUACCCUGCGAAUAAGGAUCGGCUAACUCCAUGCCAGCAGCCGCGGUAAUA
rnacentral:rRNA from 1 species